rnacentral:rRNA from 1 species
CAAAUUUCUUGCCCUAUCAACUUUCGAUGGUAGAGUAGUGGUCUACCAUGGUUUCAACGGGUAACGGGGAAUUAGGGUUCUAUUCCGGAGAGGGAGCCUGAGAAACGGCUACCACAUCCAAGGAAGGCAGCAGGCGCGCAAAUUACCCAAUCCCGACACGGGGAGGUAGUGACAAUAAAUACUGAUACAGGGCUCUUUUGGGUCUUGUAAUUGGAAUGAGUACAAUUUAAAUCCCUUAACGAGGAACAAUUGGAGGGCAAGUCUGGUGCCAGCAGCCGCGGUAAUUCCAGCUCCAAUAGCGUAUAUUAAAGUUGUUGCAGUUAAAAAGCUCGUAGUUGAACCUUGGGCCUGGCUGGCCGGUCCGCCUCACCGCGUGCACUGGUCCGGCCGGGCCUUUCCUUCUGGGGAGCCGCAUGCCCUUCACUGGGUGUGUCGGGGAACCGGGACUUUUACUUUGAAAAAAUUAGAGUGUUCAAAGCAGGCCUAUGCUCGAAUACAUUAGCAUGGAAUUAUAGAAUAGGACGUGUGGUUC